rnacentral:rRNA from 1 species
UACGUAGGGGGCGAGCGUUGUCCGGAUUUAUUGGGCGUAAAGAGCUCGUAGGCGGUUUGGUAAGUCGGGUGUGAAAUCUCCACGCUCAACGUGGAGGGGCCACUCGAUACUGCCAUGACUCGAGUCCGGUAGAGGAGAGUGGAAUUCCACGUGUAGCGGUGAAAUGCGUAGAGAUGUGGAGGAACACCAGUGGCGAAGGCGACCCUCUGGUCUGUAACUGACGCUGAGGCGCGAAAGCGUGGGGAGCAAACAGG